rnacentral:rRNA from 1 species
GGGGGGGGGGGGGGGGGGGGGGGGGGGAGGGGGGGGGGGCGGGGGGGGCCGGCUGUGGGGGGGUGCUCGGGGGGCGAACGGGUGAGUAACACGUGAGUAACCUGCCCUUGACUGUGGGAUAACUGCAGGAAACUGGGGCUAAUACCGGAUAGGAGCUCCUGCUGCAUGGUGGGGGUGGGAAAGUUUCGGCGGUGGGGGAUGGACUCGCGGCUUAUCAGCUUGUUGGUGGGGUAGUGGCUUACCAAGGCUUUGACGGGUAGCCGGCCUGAGAGGGUGACCGGCCACAUUGGGACUGAGAUACGGCCCAGACUCCUACGGGAGGCAGCAGUGGGGAAUAUUGCACAAUGGGCGGAAGCCUGAUGCAGCAACGCCGCGUGCGGGAUGACGGCCUUCGGGUUGUAAACCGCUUUCGCCUGUGACGAAGCGUGAGUGACGGUAAUGGGUAAAGAAGCACCGGCUAACUACGUG